rnacentral:rRNA from 1 species
CCUACGGGUGGCAGCAGUGGGGGAUAUUGCACAAUGGGGGAAACCCUGAUGCAGCGACGCCGCGUGGGCGAAGAAGUAUUUCGGUAUGUAAAGCUCUAUCAGCAGGGAAGAAGAAUUGACGGUACCUGAGUAAGAAGCACCGGCUAAAUACGUGCCAGCAGCCGCGGUAAUACGGAGGGUGCAAGCGUUAUCCGGAUUUACUGGGUGUACAGGGUGUGCAGGCGGCACGGCAAGCCUAGUGUGAAAGUCCGGGGCCCAACCGCGGGAGUGCAUUGGAAACGACCGGGCUGGAGUGCCGGAGAGGUAGGCGGAAUGCGCAGUGUAGCGGUGAAAUGCGUAGAUAUUAGGAGGAACACCAGUGGCGAAGGCGGCCUACUGGACGGUGACUGACGCUGAGGCACGAAAGCGUGGGUAGCAAACAGGAUUAGAUACCCCGGUAGUC